GAACGCUGGCGGCGUGCUUAACACAUGCAAGUCGAACGAUGAAGCCCUGCUUGCAGGGUGGAUUAGUGGCGAACGGGUGAGUAACACGUGAGUAACCUGCCCCCGACUCUGGGAUAAGCCCGGGAAACUGGGUCUAAUACCGGAUAUGACUUCCUACUGCAUGGUGGGUUGUUGAAAGAUUUAUCGGUGGGGGAUGGACUCGCGGCCUAUCAGCUUGUUGGUGAGGUAAUGGCUCACCAAGGCGACGACGGGUAGCCGGCCUGAGAGGGUGACCGGCCACACUGGGACUGAGACACGGCCCAGACUCCUACGGGAGGCAGCAGUGGGGAAUAUUGCACAAUGGGCGGAAGCCUGAUGCAGCGACGCCGCGUGAGGGAUGACGGCCUUCGGGUUGUAAACCU
rnacentral:rRNA from 1 species